rnacentral:rRNA from 1 species
AUUGAACGCUGGCGGCAUGCCUUACACAUGCAAGUCGAACGGCAGCACGGGAGCAAUCCUGGUGGCGAGUGGCGAACGGGUGAGUAAAGUAUCGGAACGUGCCCAGUCGUGGGGGAUAACGUAGCGAAAGUUACGCUAAUACCGCAUACGAUCUAUGGAUGAAAGCGGGGGAUCGCAAGACCUCGCGCGAUUGGAGCGGCCGAUAUCAGAUUAGGUAGUUGGUGGGGUAAAGGCUCACCAAGCCGACGAUCUGUAGCUGGUCUGAGAGGACGACCAGCCACACUGGGACUGAGACACGGCCCAGACUCCUACGGGAGGCAGCAGUGGGGAAUUUUGGACAAUGGGCGCAAGCCUGAUCCAGCCAUGCCGCGUGCAGGAUGAAGGCCUUCGGGUUGCAAACUGGUUUUGUACGGAACGAAAAGGUUUGGCCUAAUAAGCUGAGCUCAUGACGGUACCGUAAGAAUAAGCACCGGCUAACUACGUGCCAGCCGCCGCCGUAA